AAAAAAAACAUUUUAAUUUUUAAAAUUCUAUUUUACUGCUAACUGUAGCUGGCAACAUUGUUUGCAUAUGUUGUAGUAUGUUUGGAAAGGGCUUGUGACGAGGCAAAUAGAAUAAAACUAUGUAUAAGAAUACGCUUGUUUCAUAAGCUUGGUUAGACAUGAUGGUUUGCUCUGGUUUUACAAACAAAGAAGAAGAGAACUAUUUUUCCCAGCACCGCCGUGCUGAAAAACGGGCAAAUUGUGACUAAAGUUUUGUUUUAUUAGCGCCCAAAAAAGGUUUUUCUGGAAGUUUUCCAACAAUAAGUAGGUGCUUACUGAUGUGGAGCUUAUCCAUGAAGAUUUUACCUAUUAAUUAGUGAAUCUAAAGUGGUGCACAAUCGAAGAAGAAAUGUGUUGAAGAAGAUAGAAAAUUUGUGGAAAGAAGAAGUAUGCAAAAGAAUUUUAUAAUGCUUCCUAAUCUCGGCGAGUUUGUGAAAGUUUAAAAAGCGUAAACACAAAAAAUGUUUCUUCAUUAGAUGAAUUGUGCACGUAUCUCAUACGAGAUAAAUUUUGGUUGAGGUAAGUGUCUAAAUAUUGAAAUUGGAGCCAAUUUUCUGGAGGCGAGAUUUUCCGUCAGCAGAUAUUAAGGAUAAAAUGAUAAUCAUCAGUUGAAAUUAAGGUCAAACGACAGCCGCCUUUUUCGGCCAUUUUUUUGCUACUUGGAAUUCCACCUUAAGGUUUUAAGAUUUUUGCGGGGUUUUGGAGGGACCUGUGCCGCGCUAAUGUCCUCCUGUCGUGAAGGAAGGAUGAAAACUUCACGAAAAGGUGUACUUGCGACCCGGUCGAGUCAGAGCGGACAAAAUUACGGAACCAGAAUCGCAACCCGCUGGUUCCUCAAUUACGGGCAGGGAAGGAAGUGAUCCAUGAAAUGGCCAGCUUUUCUGCACAUCGAUGGGAGAAGCGGGAGUGGAACUGGUGGGAGAAAAACAGUGAAUAAAUCGGAGCUGAUAGAACCGCAGCGAAGCGCCGGAAUGUCCUCAGCGUGUUGGAGGUCUUCUGCACCGCGCCGUUGACUUGAAAUGCCCAUGCCAUGUUUUUGUUCAACCGGGGGUCGAGCGUCCUUCUCUAGCAAGUGCAGAAGCUAACAAACAAAACGCAUGUCUUCGAUGGCCUGCCGCGGGUCGAGCGAAGUCGGUGCAGUUGCUGCAAGCAACCCAGAAGCAGCACCCGCGCGUCGCCUAGCCCGGCGCCCAGGCCAAUGCAGGAUCUCACAAAAGCUCUAGACGCUGAGCUCGCUCACGUUCGAACCGUUGGAUCCGAUGUCGGACAUUCAGAGCUUCUUGCGCAAUGAGAAGAAGAAUGCGAUUUUGUCCGUUAUCUGGGAAGUGCACAAGAACUCGUUUCAGGCGACGCAAAACGCCAAGAUUCUGAACCUGAUUAGAUCGUUCGUCGGACUCAAGUUCGCCAACCAGAACCAAAACUCGAGCUUCAUCGGCCUACAGGAUGGUCACCUUAAAGCCUCUCUGGCCAAUGGUCUACUACUUUCAGCGCGGUGGCGACACCGCAUCUGCCCUCAAGGGCAUGCAAAUGGCCGGACCGUGUCGCGACGAUUUGAUCGCUGUCCUCGAGGAAAAGUGGCCCAAAAACGAUCAGAAGAUCAACCCCAAGCUGGUGCUAAAAAUCCGAUUGCAAUACAAGUGUUAAAUCUGGAACGCCAAGCGCGUCGUCUACUGCAUCAUCGGUUGCUGCAACAUCCAGAAGAUGCUGGCGCUGACCGGCCAGUUUGAAGCCGGCAUUCAUUUCCGGGGAUUUGCAUCACGCGCUUGCUAACUGCACAUGAUCCGGGCCUGCAGGAAUCGUUGCUUCCGUCGACAUCGAUGCCCCGCGGGCAUGUCAUGCUUUUUCCUAUUUUUUUUAUUAUAUUAAAUAUAUCUAUUUUUUUACCAUGGUUUUGCUUUGGGUGAGAAGGGGUCCAUUCAGAAUUAAAUAAAAAUCACGUUUAAUCUAUCACUACUGUUGCAAAACAUUAUUUCAUGCAAAAUAAACUUUUUAAUUAGUCUGCCGAAACAAUAAAGUUGGCUUAAAAAGUAAAAAAUACAAAGUAAAUUGCAUUUUCUAGCAAAUUGGUAUACCACUCUGUAGAAGCGAGAACGGUAUGACGUCAUCAUCAGAGGCAUCGCGAAUGUUGACACUUUUUCGCUUACCAACACUAAACCAAAACGUAUU